CCUGGUUCUAACUAGACAGCUGUGUUGAUUAUAAUGGGAGCAAUCUAGUUUUGUCACGUCUCUCUCUUUCUCUCUCAUGAGUUGAGCCGCAGUUCCUGUUGAUGCUUCUCUGGCCGUUCCCUGCAGCCGUGACCCCCUGACUGCGUUAUGCUGUCGCCAUGGAAACGUGGGAUCAGCGCAAAUUCCCGCUCCAGCACACACAUACGCGACCGCGCGCGCAUACACAGACACACACACACACACGCACACACACACGCACACUUCGUUAUGUAUCCACUUUAACAUAAAACGAAUCAGUAUCAACAAUGUACAAUAUUAUUUGAGGUGACGACACAAACAACACCUGACCAACAUCUGCCCUCCCAAGCUGAAAGUCAGGUUCGGUGACGGUCACUUCCUGUCAAGCUUAUGCUGGGUCACUAACUGGACUGCUGAAGAAACUUACAAGUGUGCAUCAUGGCUUUCUGGAUGAAGACCAAACAAAUGUUUGAAGCAGAUUUGUUGAUGGGAGUGUGAGAUCUGCUGUUAAGUCUGGACUGACUGUAUGGAGGUCAGCGAUCAGAUGUGAUUUAGGCCUGUCCAUGCCAGGCCAGUUGUGGAUGGCGGUACACCCAGCCUGAGGGAUUUUGGGUAUCUGAAUCAAUGACGAACAAUGCAGGCAGUCUGUGCAAAUAAAGGGUGGCAAUGGUGGGCUCAAAUCAUGGAACACAGAAGCCAACAUCCACACAGACAAAAAGCCAUGAAGAUGAUAAAACAGCAUUGUGGCUGAGAUUUUUGCACAGAAGAAAGAAAGUCAUACGGAACAUCAUGAGGCUUCUUUUAACUGCUUUCCUCACCUGGCCGUCCCCAUGGAGUUUACUCACAAUGCCUUGUGCCAGCACUACAGCUCCUCCCCCCUUCCCCAAUCUAGACUAACCAGUUCUCUAAACACCCCCAGACGUCUUUACAUUCACCCUGCUAUCUUGCAGGCUCUUUUUGUCCGUGUGUGUUUCUGUUUGGACAUUUUUGCUGGCCUCCAGCCAGUGUGUAUUGUGUGGUGAGAAAACAGUGGUUCAGGACAGGCCUCUGGGAAACUGGCUGUGUCUCUUUUAUUCUCAUCUCUGGACUGAAGACCCAAAAAUGACCAAUCACAUUCAGUCCAUGCUGUCCCCUGGCUCUGUCUCUGCUUGCUAAGUAUCCCCGAGGCCAGUCUCUCCCUCCUCUUCCCAUGUCUCCCAUCUCUGUCACACUCUAUUUUCUCUCUCUGACCAUCCAUCAAUCAUUUCUUUACAUCACGUUCUCCAUUCACCAUACAUCCAUCAGUGAGCCCACCCACCCAUCUGUCCCUCCCAGCCACCAUAUCUUCAUUUCUUGAAAAGAAUAGUUCAUCUAAAAAUGAAAUUUAUUUACUAUUUAUGGUAACACUUUACAAGGUUUCAUUUACUAACAAUGAACAGUCCUUCUAUAGCAUUUAUUAUUUAUUAAAAAUGUAAAGUUCAACAAUUAGUAAUACAUUUUUAAAAUCAAGUUGUAUCUGUGUAUUAGUUAAUGCACUGUGAACUAUCAUGAACAAUGAACAAUAGUAUUUUAAGUAACAAAGAUUAAUAAAUGCUGUAAACAUGGCUUAUUUAUAGUUUUUUUUUUUUUUUUAGCUAGUGCAUUAACUAACAUUAAAGGCACAAUAUGUAAUUUUCGCCGCUAGAGGUCACUUAUUCAAAACAUUACAAAGGCGUACAUAGGCGGAGCGUGUGUAAGGCUGGGGAAAGGCUUAGCCUUCCCCUGGCCAUGGGUCAAAAAUUAAUGGGGGCUUGGCCAAAAAUGCACCUGCACAUUUAAUCUACUAAUAAAGAUAAAAUGAAAAUUAAAUAAAGUGUCAAUUGUGGCAUUAAAUAUAUAUUUCUGCUCAUGUUGCGUUAUACUUUUUACACGUUUUACAGUGUUGCGCACUAAUCACACACAAUUCUGUUGACAUUAUAAUUGCAAUGGCCAUAUAGAGGCGUUCAGAUUAGUCAUCGCUGAAACCUGAGUUUUGUUCAGUGCGCGAGCUGAACACGGAAUUCUGACUGAUGCCGUUUCAUUAUUAUUAUUACAUUUUUAUUUGACAUGGACAUCACAGUUACUUUGGACGAACCAUAUGCACUUGCUUAAGUAUUUAGCACACAUGCUAAUUUUCAACACCAGUCCACGGGAGACUUUUCAGAGAGCAAAAAAGAAAGUGUCCAUGAUGUGUAACUCCAUUUUUAUCUGAGCAAAACCAUGUAUGAGAUUUCAGCGCUUUGACGGAGGAGAAAAUUGUUAGUCAACAUCAAUUUUAAAUCUCAGUCCAUGCUUUAUGCAAAGCUGUUUUAUAGCUAUAAGCUAUUUUUCUAAAUUUCUUCUUUUGUGUUCCAUAGAGAAAAUAGAGGCAUACCGGUUUGAAUUUACACGAGGGUGAAAUUAACUCAUCUAACUCUAACUCAUCAUUCCACACUCUUAAAAAUAAAGGUUCUUUAUUGACUUUGAUGGUUCCAUGAAGAACCUUUACAUCCUUGGAACCUAUACAUCAUUGCACAAAAAAUUCUUUAUAGUAGAAAAAGUUUCUUUACAUUUUUAAAAUGUUCUUCACACUAAGAAAAAUAUGGUUCUUUCAAGAACUGAUCACUGUAUGAUUCUUUAGGGAACCAAAAAUGGUUCUUCUAUGGCAUCAUUGCUAAAAACCCUCUUUUGGAACCUUUAUUUUUAAGAGUGCAUAUUUAUCCUCCAGUCUGUCUAUCUAUCUAUCCACCCAUCCAUCCACGGUACAAUAGUUUCCAUCUGUUUAAGCUCUAUAACACCUUUCUUCCAUUCUCACUCUUCCCCCCAAAAAACACCUCCAUUUGUGUCUCCUCUCAUCCCCCCAUUUCUGUAUUCUGACACUCCACCUUACUGCGACAUUCCCAACACAGACAGUCCAUCAGGAAUCCUCCUGCUGUCGAGCCGGGAUGUCCCACCCCCAACCUGCCUCCACCGGAUCCCAUGGGAUGAAGGGAUGGAGGAGGAAGAGGGUGGAGGUCUGAUGAAUAAGUGAUUAAGAUUGACAGUGUCUGGGGGUCUACUGUUGUGGUCUUUCUGAUCCCAGGCCACAAUUUUCAUUUUCUCUCGCUCAACUACACAAGCAGAACCCAUAAACCCACCCUCAGGUCCCUGAAGUAUCAUUAGCACAGGUGAAUGGUAUGUUUUUCUUUUUCUCUCUCUAUCUUUCUCUCUAAUGCAGGUUUUCUUUCCAGUUUCUCCUUGGAUGAACAUCAGGAUGACAGUGUGGGUGUUCACCGGCUUGACGCAAAAUGCAAAUUAAACAAACAGGAGAGACUUGCCCAUUUAGAAAAUCUCAUAUAUGGCUUUAUUAAAAACUGACAGCUCCCAGUCACCAGAUUUUGAGUUAGUGACAUUUUGAGCUCUAUUCCUCUGUCUUGAAAAUGCACACAGACAUGUCAUCCUAAAUAACCAUUGUCACAUAAUCAUGCUUAUUGUAUAUACAGGCUUAUUGAUAUCAAAUGCAUAUAUAAGAUAAUAAUGUCUAACACCCUUUAACCACCACUUUUUCACAAUAUUGCACGGCUUCUCAUUGCUUAAGGCCAUUAAAGGUCAAAGAAUCCAAUGUAUAGAUCCAUUAAUACUCCCUUUUUAAAUGCAGACCAUCAGUGUUGCCCCCUUUUAGUCACAGAUAGAAUAUCAUGUUUCCUAUCCAUUGUAAUAGGGUUUUAAAACACAAUUAUAUGCAAAUGGUCUUGAUAAUUGGAGAAGUGAAAGCACAUUAUAAGCAAAUGUCACAUUUUGAAAAGUAAGGGAGAAUGAGGGAGAAUUUUCACAUUAUAUCUAGGGCUGUAUCUCAGUAACUGUAAAGUUUUCAGUCAAUUAGUCAAUUACAUACAUGCUUAUUCACAACUUUUUUUGAAUAUUCCAUUAUCAUCAUAUAUUUCUGUGAAAGAUGUUGAGUAACAGGAUGGAAUUUUCACAAGUUCAUUCAUUGAGAAAAUUAACAAUGUUUACACACACACACACACACACAAAAAAAAGGGAACAUCCAGCUCAUAAAGUGCAAACUUCCAUUACAACAUAUUCGCUUACAUGAUGGAUAUACAAAGUACUCACCUGUGAAAUCCAAACAACAUUUGCGACCUGGGCGUCCAAAUAAUUUACAAAUGGAUUGGUUUGGAUUUUUAACUUUUAACAUAUUAUGUGUUUUAUCCUUUGGUAAAAUGCUGUUGAUCCUUGAUUGUGUUUUUCUGUUUUGAUGUGUAUUUGUAUGUUUGUUAUUGUAGCUGCUUUCUUGGCCAGGUCACUCUUGUAAAAGAGAUGAGUUUUUAACCUGGUUAAAUAAAGAAUGAUGAUGAUGAUGA